rnacentral:rRNA from 1 species
CCUACGGGUGGCAGCAGUGAGGAAUAUUGGUCAAUGGGCGCGAGCCUGAACCAGCCAAGUAGCGUGAAGGAUGACUGCUCUACGGGUUGUAAACUUCUUUUAUAAAGGAAUAAAGUGAGGUACGUGAGCCUUUUUGUAUGUACUUUAUGAAUAAGGAUCGGCCAAAUCCGUGCCAGCAGCCGCGGUAAUACGGAGGAGCCGAGCGUUAUCCGGAUUUAUUGGGUUUAAAGGGAGCGUAGAUGGGUUGUUAAGUCAGUUGUGAAAGUUUGUGGCUCAACCGUAAAAUUGCAAUGGAUACUGGCAGUCUGGAGUGCAGGUGGGGUAGGCGGAAUUCGUGGUGUAGCGGUGAAAUGCUUAGAUAUCACGAAGAACUCCGAUUGCGAAGGCAGCUUACUAAACUGCCACUGACAUUGAUGCUCGAAAGUGUGGGUAUCAAACAGGAUUAGAUACCCCAGUAGUC